ACGAGCGUCCGAGUAUUUUACACUGUCUCCGUGCUUCGACGUACGUUCGAGAAUAUUUUCCUUUUCGUCUCCGUCCCCAGUUUUUAUCAGACCCCUUAAACGUAACGGUGAUCCGGAAAAAAUUGAAAGAUAACGUCUUUCGAAUUGUUUUAAACUGUGUACCAUUCGGUUUUAUUCAACGUAUAGAAAAGUGUAUAUCUUUUAGGGAUGUGUAUAAACAAUGUGAAAAAUUUCAAGUGCAACACGAGAAAUACCCAAUUUGAUGCUCUUGGAAAUGGAAGACUGGGAUCGUUCCUUACGUGAAUAGAGGUACAAGGGAUAAUGUGUGACAUCGGAGUGUGAACAUGAAAAAACGGGUAUGGGGAAGAUGCGAGAGAUCUCCUGGAGGACAUCCGGAUAAGUACCGUCCCGACAGAGAGCCAGAGAGCGGAACGGAGAGACGGGGAGAAGAUGUGAAAGAAAAGGAUGCCGAAAGAUUCGUAAGAAAAUUUCAGAUAAAUUCCUAAGCCGAUUCAGCACUGGACAAGCUUGUACCACGAAUCUCGCCUCUCGUGUAUCAAACAAGCACCGCUGACCCAAGGAACCGCGUCUUCGCCUUCCCUAUCAGUGAUACCAGCGACAACCAGCGGUAGCAGUGGCAGCAGAAACAGUAGCAGCAGCAGCAGAGGCUAGUAACCGAGAUACAGCCCUCUCGUCCAUACCGAGGAUGAAGAGGAAGCCGGUGGGCGCAGAGCGAACAGAGGAGAAGGUAACCAGAGCGAGAUUCAGGGAGAGGAUGCUGAAGGGAGACAAAGA